CAUGAAUAUGAUGUAAUGUAAAAGUAUAGUAUAGAAAUGUAAUGUAAUGAUGCUUAUGGAAGUUUAGAGUUGUGCUUGACCAUAGUAUGUUGUUAAUCCCUUUUUAGUACAUGAUCUUAAAUGUUUAAUGAUGAUUAUGUAAACCAAGCUUAAUGUAUGUUAUGAUACCCCAUUGGAGUAUUUGAUGAGGACUCCAGUGAGAGGUUUUAUGUUAUGAUUUGUGCAU
rnacentral:lncRNA from 1 species